UUUUAACGCUGAGGUGUGAUGACGAGGCACUACGGUGCUGAAGUAACAAAUGCCCUGCUUCCAGGAAAAGCCUCUAAGCAUCAGGUAACACGAAAUCGUACCCCAAACCGACACAGGUGGUCAGGUAGAGAAUACCAAGGCGCUUGAGAGAACUCGGGUGAAGGAACUAGGCAAAAUGGUGCCGUAACUUCGGGAGAAGGCACGCUGAUAUGUAGGUGAAGCCCCUGCGGGUGGAGCUGAAAUCAGUCGAAGAUACCAGCUGGCUGCAACUGUUUAUUAAAAACACAGCACUGUGCAAACACGAAAGUGGACGUAUACGGUGUGACGCCUGCCCGGUGCCGGAAGGUUAAUUGAUGGGGUUAGCGGUAACGCGAAGCUCUUGAUCGAAGCCCCGGUAAACGGCGGCCGUAACUAUAACGGUCCUAAGGUAGCGAAAUUCCUUGUCGGGUAAGUUCCGACCUGCACGAAUGGCGUAAUGAUGGCCAGGCUGUCUCCACCCGAGACUCAGUGAAAUUGAACUCGCUGUGAAGAUGCAGUGUACCCGCGGCAAGACGGAAAGACCCCGUGAACCUUUACUAUAGCUUGACACUGAACACUGGUCCUUGAUGUGUAGGAUAGGUGGGAGGCUUUGAAGCGUGGACGCCAGUCUGCGUGGAGCCGACCUUGAAAUACCACCCUUUAAUGGCUGGUGUUCUAACGUAGACCCGUAAUCCGGGUUGCGGACAGUGUCUGGUGGGUAGUUUGACUGGGGCGGUCUCCUCCCAAAGAGUAACGGAGGAGCACGAAGGUUAGCUAAUCCUGGUCGGACAUCAGGAGGUUAGUGCAAUGGCAUAAGCUAGCUUGACUGCGAGAGUGACGGCUCGAGCAGGUGCGAAAGCAGGUCAUAGUGAUCCGGUGGUUCUGAAUGGAAGGGCCAUCGCUCAACGGAUAAAAGGUACUCCGGGGAUAACAGGCUGAUACCGCCCAAGAGUUCAUAUCGACGGCGGUGUUUGGCACCUCGAUGUCGGCUCAUCACAUCCUGGGGCUGAAGUAGGUCCCAAGGGUAUGGCUGUUCGCCAUUUAAAGUGGUACGCGAGCUGGGUUUAGAACGUCGUGAGACAGUUCGGUCCCUAUCUGCCGUGGGCGCUGGAGAAUUGAGGGGGGCUGCUCCUAGUACGAGAGGACCGGAGUGGACGCAUCACUGGUGUUCGGGUUGUCAUGCCAAUGGCACUGCCCGGUAGCUAAAUGCGGAAGAGAUAAGUGCUGAAAGCAUCUAAGCACGAAACUUGCCCCGAGAUGAGUUCUCCCUGAGACU
rnacentral:rRNA from 1 species